rnacentral:lncRNA from 1 species
CGUUUAGCCUGGACCUGAUUGUUGAGUCUCUUUCGUGAUCCACACAAUUCGGAGAGGAGGUAGGUUGGUGUGACCAGUCCUGCUGCAGGAAGGGACAAUGAGGCACGGAAGAGUUGGGAGGCUCAUCCCAUGCAUGCUGUGAGCCAACACCUAAGCCAGCUUCAAAGGAUGGGAGUCCAGAGAAGCCAAGGCCAAGCCCUGUGCAGUGAAGAUGGCCUCAGGGUCCAGUGUGGAGGCUGUGCAGUGCCGAACUGCUCCUGGUGACAUCGGAGUGUUUGAGGAAACUGGGGCCACGAGGAAGAAUUCUGAGAGAUGACAAGCCUGGGACUCCAGAAGGAGCAGAGUCCCAGCAACGGGUUGCACGCAGGCAUGGAAGUGACAUCACAGCGCAGAUGCAUCCUGGGAUAUACAAGUCUCAGAGUCUGUCUCCCUCUCUCCCUCCAGAAGAAAAAAGAAAAAAGAAAAAAAUUUAAGAGG